CAUACACAUGUAUGAGCCGCUGGAUAGGAGUGCUGCUCCACCAAUAGUUUUUCACGAGGGAAGUGUGCAUGCUUUCUUUUUUUCUGUCUGUAGAGGCGAAAGCAUCAUCGUGCCGCUGCGAAGACAAUGGCGUAUGAACAAAUCUUGCAAUCAAAUGUGAAGGCUGCAUUAAUCAGCAAUGAAUGUCUUCCAACGAGCCAAGCUGGACAAAGAAAGGUAAGUGCAACUUGAAUUUAGUAGCUAGCUGAUAUGUAUUGCAAAGCUGACAUUUAUCUUGCCUGCAGGGCGCGAAAUGGACACGAACUCCGUCGAGUUCUUCGUGUGAAAGUGACUCGCUUUGCUCUAGAAGUGAGUUGCUUCAAGCAAUGAAAGAAAAAAAAAUUUGGAAGCGAAGAGCCCUCGACCUGCAGAAUCAAAAUCGAAAACUGCUUGAACAAACAAUGACAUUGCAACGCUGCCUCCAGUCACAGAUAUUUAACUUGGAAGCGAGGUUUAAAUUCCUCCCAUCUGGCGGGCCUGCAAGUCCUGCAGGCUCUGAAAUGGCCCAAAUUCCACUUGAAGGGGAUGAUGAAAGACAUGACCUGCCAGAAACUCCACCAGCACUGCGGAGUAUUCCACAUGCGGAACCCACUGCAUCACAGCCCGCCCAGACUGAAGCACAGAAGCCAAACUUUUCAUAUACGGAAGACGGCUUCUUUCACCUAAAAGAUGGCUUCUGUAUUUCUGGAGCACAAGCGGCUAAAAUCUGUGCCGACAAGAAAGGGACGCUUGUGUGUAAGGAUACAGUGCAGGGUCUGUGGAGUAACACGGUCCUUGCCACAAGGAGCGUCAGCGGCAAUGUAGCCCCCAGGAAGAGGGCAUUGGGCGAGCUGCCGAAACAGCAGUUCACCCCAAAAAAGGUGGAUGUCGUAGUGGUUACAAUCCAGCACUGGGGCCAACAGAAGAAUGUGGAUGUCCGACACACUCAAGAAUUUGUCAAGGCUCCUCACUGAGAAAAUACAAUAUGUCUCGAAGGCCCUUCGAAAGAUGGAGUUCAAAUAAAUAAAAAAAAAGCUAAACUGCCUUUGUUGCGUGAAAUCCAUCAGGAGAAGACGCCUUUGGUAGGCUUCUACUGUGACCAGUUGCAAUGGGGACCAACUGGGACCAGUUGCAAUGGGGACCAACUGGAACCAGUUGCAACUGGAACUGGGAAUUGUUCCAUAAACCAGUUGAACUGGGACCAGUUGCAUUCCAGUUGCAAAUUUUCACCUGGGAGUAAUGGCCGGGAAACUCCUCAAGCGUACUUUCCCCCACGUGUCCGUCGAGGCUUCGGGCGUGAUGCUGCGCAGCUCCUCCGGGCAACUCCCAGGUCCAGGGUCAGGCACAGGUCAGCAUUUGUUUUGGCGACAUGGAGGCAAACGUUCCCCUUUACUUAACCAAGGGGUCGUCGCCGACGCUGCUGGGCCGAAACUGGAUUCUCAUGCACUGGGCGUUCGUCUGCCAGAAUACCCGGAAGCCAGCCUGCAUGUGGUGCAGAGCUGCUAAAUCUGCCAGGAGCAUCAGCGAGCCUUGCGUCAUGUGGAAAGCACCCCUUGGCCGUUCCCACAAAGACCCUGGUCCCGCCUACAUGUGGAUUUGGGGGAAACCUUCAAGGGCCAUUACUUCCUGGUGGUGGUGGAUGCCUUUUCGAAGUGGGUGGAGGUUCUACCUGUCACCACUCCAUCAGUAGGCAAGGCCAUUGCAGCGCUACGACAGGUCUUCGCCACCCAGGGUUUGCCGGAUGUCAUCGUGUUUGACAAUGGUCCUGCUUUCGCCAGCACAAAGUACCUGGCCUGGCUGACGAAGAACGGAAUCCGCUGGAUGAUGGUUCCGCCGUACCACCCUGCUUCAAAUGGUGCAGCCGAGCGGGUGGUGCAAACCAUCAAAGACAAGCUCAAGAAGAGCUAGACUGAAGAUUUCCGGACGCAGAUUGCCCGGAUACUAUUUCAGUACCAGACCACGCGCCAGGAUCUCACUGGCCGUGCCCCCUGUGAGCUCCUGUUGGGUCGGAUGGUCAAGACACCCUUGGACGUCUUGCAUCCGGCCUUCUGAUCCACAGUGCUUUUGAAGCAGCUGAAGCAGAAGCUGGCUGCUGACCAAGGGUGCCGUCCCGGGCCUUUGCCAGAGUCGGGAGCUCCAGCUUUCGCCAGCAACUUCCGUCCUGGCCCAGCCUGGUCUGCCGGACAGGCGGUGUCUCCUGCCAGCGCCUCAUCGCUGUUCGUCCGCAUGCCAGACGGGGCCAUGUGGCACAGACCCGCCGACCAUGUCAGGCCUCGCCUCGGGACCUGGCCAGCACCCUCGACUGCCACUUCUGAGUUCGAGCCCGCAGGAGGACUAGCGGUAGCACCAGUCGCUUCCAGCGGAGCACCACCCACCUCGGAUGCGGCAACCGUAGCCAGUGGUGCGGUACCCGUUGGGCCGGUGUCAAGCCCAGCACCACUCACGAGGCCGGCCACUACAGACCCUCUGGAUAGAGCGAGGCUGGCUCAAGCAGCACCCGGCGUUGCCACACCCGACCCAUCAACACCGGUGCCUAGGCGAAGUAGUCGACGGCGGAGGCCACCGGACCGUUACUCGCCUGGAUAGCAGGCAGCGUCGACCCAGCUAGGGUGGAGGCAGAGCCUCAUAUGGACGUUUGUUUUUUAUUUAACAAACAAACUGGGGGUAAGGGGGUGUAGCAAGCAUGUGACGCCCUCUCAGGCAUAAUGUUCGUUCGCCGCCAGGCUUGGUGGCCUGCUAAGCUCGGCAGGCAACAUUGGUCACCGCACCGCAAUGAACACCGACGAGCACGGCUGCUCGGCGGUCAGUCAUCGUUCAGCACCACCACGCUGUGGAGCGUGUCUAACGGAGGGUGCCUCGAGCCCUCCCUUGUUCACGAACCCGGGUGGAUCGUGACAGCACAUGCCACUCAGUUGCAAGUUGGAAGUAGCUACAUUGUUUUGUAGCACUUGGAAAAUAUUAGUGUAGCUAUUACAUGGAUAAAAAUAUCAAUAGGGAGUAUGCACUGAAACUCGGCCGCAAUGUGGCACUACAGUGCCUUGCGUCGAGUGCCAUGUUUGUGGUUGUGCUUGGCUGGCUUAGCUGUGAAAACGCUUUUGUUACUGACGCUUUCAACAAUCCGUUCGCCACAAAAAGCUGAUGUGUACUUCUCGAUCGGCGCGACUCCAGUGUAACAUGCAACUCAACUACUACGCAAGGUCACUGCCUGAGCCCGAGUGCAGCAGAUAUAUCAUCGAAAUUGCGAAAUGCGGCGGAGAUGACCCGUUGGCGCUGUCCGACGACCACUUUACGAACAAUGUUGGUUUUUAUCGAAGUGUGAAUCGUGCGGACAUCAGCGACUAUCUAGUCCACGGGACGAGUUUCGUGACGCGGGUGCAGCUAAAGCGCUAUAAAUCCCUGGAGGCUCAUAAUUACGUCACCAGCGAUCUUGUGGAGCCAUCAAGAGUGAGCGAGUGAGAGCCACCAGUUCGUGAUGGCAACGUCGUCGUCGUUGGAAAGGUAGGCUGUACUUAUAUAAUGUACCACAUGUCAGCGGCUUGGGGCAUUUUUUCAGUCGUCCAGAAAAAAUAGCGAUGGAGCAAGCAAUGGAUGUGGCGCCCAGUCCGUCGUACUUGUCGCUAGAUCACCGGUGGAGCUGCUGACAUGUUCGUGCUUCAUACGCCCGAAUUCGUGCUCACAGUGUCUAAUCGCGUAAGCUAAACACUGAUGUAUCUUUUCUCACUGUGCAGGUCGGCCACUUUCAGGAGUUCAGAGAUAAGCCGCUGCUGCCAAGGCUGUUAAUUAAAGCUCACGGGGAAGUUUUGUGCGUGCACUGUAUGUGCAUGGCUGGCCUCGGGGAGGCGUGCUCACACGUUGGAGCAGUGCUCUUUUAUUUGGAGGCUGUUGUGACACGCCGGGAUGGCCGAUCAUGCACAGAUGGGCAAAAUGCAUGGCUACCGCCUCAUCUCGUCAGUCUGGAAUGCCGACCGGUGGCAGAGAUGAACUUCGCGUCUUUCGCAAUGAAAAACGCCGCUUGGACGACACUGAGGCUGUCCCCCGCGACCCACCAAGUGUUGAAAUGCCCAAGCCGAGAGAGGACGAGAUGUUAAAGUUUUUCUCAUCAUUGAGUAAAUGUGAGGGUAGGCCAGCACUUCUCUCGCUUGCCCAAAAAUUUGCUGACCCCUACAUUCCCUUGGGCUUGAAGUACCCUUAGCUCCACCUCUGCAAUCUGCAAAGGAAGCAGUGCCCAAUUUCCUUGGAGGAUGUACAGGCAGAAUGCCGUAAUGUCUUGGAGGACCUCUCAAUUGAGCCUGAUGUAAGUUUCUUCGUCUCUUUGUAGCUUGCUUAGAGCCAAACCUUGCUAAAAAACUAAUUCUGCAGGUUGUUAUUGUUGUAAUGUGCCGUGCAGCCGUGUGUCAGCAUCUGUUCACAAUCAUAAUUAAUUUAUGCUAAACCUGCACAUGCUGCGUGGGCCCCUCAAAUGUAUGCAAUAUUGUCAUGAAUCCACAACAUCCUUAAAACAUUACAGCAGAGCUAAAAAGCAAUCAAAAGGAUAAAUAUUUGUGCUUGUUUGCACAUGAAUUGCAAUUUCCUGCAUGUGUUGCAUUGAUCGAGAAGCAGACGAAGGCCCAAUCUGCAUCCGAGAAGUGGAAUUUAUUUCGGACUGGACGCAUUACAGCUUCAAAUGCAGGAGCGGUAUUAACAUCAUUCACCGAUUCUUCAAAGAGCCUGCCGAAGAGACUGUGCUACCCGGUGGACUGCAAAUUCCAGACUGCAGCAACUCAAUGGGGAAAGAAGAAGCUGCUGCGAGGGCAACUUACAUAGAGGCAAUGCAGAAGCACCAUCUAGGCUUUAAAUGCGAAAUGUCUGGCCUCCACAUAAGCAUAGAAGGACCAUUGUUGGCUGCAACUCUUGAUGGCCUUUUACAUUGCAAUUGUUUUGGGGCUGGCCUUCUGGAGAUAAAAUGUCCAUACUCUGCAAAAGAUGUACUUAUUUGCGAAACUCCAGAGCAGCAACGAUCGUAUCGUGUAAUUGAUGGCAAUGAUGCAAAGCUAUUGAGAAACCAUCAUUACUUCAAGCAAGUAAUGAUGCAGAUGUUUGUUUGCAAAAGAAACUACUGUGAUUUUGUAGUAUGGACAUAGAAAGAUAUUUUUAUUGAAAGAGUAAUGUUUGAUAAGGAGUUCUGCAACGAAAUUGUGGAUAAGUGUGCAUUGUAUUUUGAACGAGUUCUCCUGCCUUAACUUUGUUUCCGUUAUUGGACCACUGCUGCUGAAGAAGUAGUAGUGGAGCAAAGUGCAGGCAGUCAGGAUGAUAAAUAUUGCCACUGUCAGCAGCCAGUAUAUGGAGACAUGAUUAGGUGUGAUGGGAAGCAUUGCAAUCGACAAUAGUUUCACUUCCAGUGUGUUAAUUUGAAGAGGGCACCUAAAUCGCGGAAAUGAUUUUGUAAUGACUGCAAGGAGUCGUAAAAAAGGUACUGUACAUUUUCUAGAUGCUUUGCACUAUAGACACAUGUCAGUCAAAUGAUACAACAGAGUCGCACAGGUUGGUAAGUGCGGCACACACAAAUACAACCUUGUCAAGUGCGCUCACUUUCAUGCUGUUAAACACCUUUGGCUCCAAAAAUUCAGUGGGAAGAGUGCUUUUGAGAAUGGAGUACUUGUUCCUGACUAACCCAAUAACUCUUUCAACAUGAAUCCUAUCAUUUGCUAGCCUUAAGUGUUGCCUCAACAGAGCAUGCAGCAAGCUGUGGCUUCCCUUUGGUGAAGGCUGGGAUUUCCUGCUUCGCUCCACACAUGCCCACGGCAUAAGAGAUAAAGAAACCCCUGUCAGCCAGCACAGAGACGCCAGGUAGCAGGUUGCUAAGAAUGCCACACGAUUCUGUCAGCAUUGUCACUGGUGCGUCCAUCCCGCCCUCUUGAUAUGUGCGUGAUUACACCUUGCGGAGCGAUGCCAAUUAAGUACUUCACGGUGUUCGCAUGCUUGUACGUAGACCAUGUUAAUGAUCUAAAUUCCAUGGCUGAAGGUCUGUCCACAAAGACUUCAAAACAAUUAAGAAUCACUGCUACUUUCUUGCCAAAUGUUUCUUGAAAUGCCAUUGGCAUCGUUCUUUGAAGAUCUUCACGUUCUGGUCAUUUGAUUAGACUGCUGAGCCUGAUGUAAGCAGCAUCAAGCCACAUUUCUAUCCUCGUUACGGUUGACUGGUGAAUGCCAAACCUGUAAGAUAAACUGCCGAGUUCUUAUGUGCUUCAAUAAGUGUUACUGAAGCUAAUGCAAUGAAGUUCACCAGCACAACAUGGCUAUUGCAUGCUCAACUGUGUAGUUCUACGUAGUGCACGAAGCUUAAUGUUACAAAUGAAUAUGGGUAUGGCUGUUGCCCAGAAUAAAAUACAGAAUAAUAUACCUGUAUGCAAGAUCUUGUAACAGGUCGUUAAGCCAUAACUUCAUUAGGAAAACGGCCCUUUCCUGAAAUUUACUCAGGCGGUUUCGUAAUGUAUGCCUUACAUGAGGCUCAACUAGGCUGUAAACAGCCUCCAAAAAUGCAUAAUUUGGCAGCCUUGUGUAAAACACCACCAUGUCUGGGUUGCUGCGGAGCACAUCCCUGUCUCCAGGGGCUGCCUUUGCCAGGCGACUGCGUGCACUAUCCAGGUCAUGUUGAAGGCGGUGGUUUUCUUCCUCCAGUGAAGAGAUGGGGGCUGACAACAGGUCAGCUGUCACUUCUUUGUCCAUCAUGCCUGCAUGAUAAAUUGAAUGUGUGAUGGCCAUAUGAAGGGAAAGCACUGGUGUCAACACAAUGUAUAAUGUUACUUGUUUCAGCACAUUUACAUGAGGAUUUUUAUUAUUCUAAUAAAGUAUGACCUUGAAUCUGCCUGUCAGACUGAACUGUUUGCUAUACAAUUAGCUUUCAGUGCAAAAGAAACCGCAUCCCUAAUUUUCACAUCCAUAAUGGUCAUAUUGUUCUCCACAUAUCGCACCUACACCAGCAUUACUUUUUUUUUACUGUUAUGCAGUCUUGGUAAGAACUGAGCACCAUUCACAUGGCUGUUUCAGAAAACGGCUGGGAGGAAACCACCAAUAGAAAGAACCCCAGCUGAGGACACGACACCAGAGAAUGAGCCGACAACUAGCACUCGUACAUCAACUGAGGACAACUUAGCUAAUCUCUCUGAUCACAACUACGCCGUAUUCGAGUCUCCGAAGACAUUAAAGAGGAAAAUGGAUCUCUGUGUGGACUCAGUAGUUGGUGUCAAGAAAAAGCUGAAGCUGAGCCUUGAACGAGAGCGCCGACUGAGAAAAAGGGUGUGCACAUUCACUGAGAUAAUUAGUGAUCUCAAAGAGAAGAACCUUGUUUCAGAAGAUGCCUCUGCAAUGCUUGAAAGAUGUUUUUCAGGCGCGCCUCUAGAGAUCAUGCAACGCCUUUUGAAACAUGCACCAGCAGAAGGAGAUACGUCUGUCAAGUACAGCCGAGAAAAAUACCCCCCUAUGUUGCGCAUGUUUGCACUUACA